AGGGCAAUGUGACCCUUGAGAACCUACACGAGACCAACUUAUAUUAAUAUCUAAACAAAUAAUAAUAUUAGCAACAACAAUAAAAUCAAUGUCAUAAAUUUUAAAGGCAAUGGAAGACAAGCGUAUUAAUUCCCUUCAUGUAUAAUAAAAACAAGAGGGAAAACGCAUCAACAAAAGUGUUAACAGAGAUUUUAUUACAGAAACUUAGUAUCAAAGAUAUAACAACUCAAUUUCUGAACAAAACAUAUGCCCAUAGGAAGCAAUACCGCAGUAUAGCAUGCUUUCU
rnacentral:misc_RNA from 1 species